rnacentral:misc_RNA from 1 species
GAAAUGCGAUACGUCAUGCGAAUUGCAAAAACCAGUGAGUCAUCAAAAUUUUGAACGCACCUUGCACUUCCCUCUGGGGAGUAUGUCUGUUGGAGUGUCUGUUCAUCCCCACAAUUUCUAGUAUUCUUUUAUCGGAAUAGUUGCAAUUGAGUCGGUCUUGAAACAUCUCGUAUGUUUGAUGCACCUAGAUGAAAUAACACUAGUCGUAAUCAACUUCUUUUCUGAAGAAUUCGAUUCGACGCGACGUCCUAGUUCUUCGGAACUUUGAUCGCGUUAGUAUAGAAUUUUUCGUGAAGGAAUUGAAGCGUGAAUACGACCAUCCGAUCGGACCUCCAAUCAGGCAAGAAUACCCGCUGAAUUUAA